rnacentral:rRNA from 1 species
UACGUAGGGUGCAAGCGUUGUCCGGAAUUAUUGGGCGUAGAGAGCUCGUAGGCGGUUUGUCGCGUCUGCUGUGAAAACCCGAGGCUCAACCUCGGGCCUGCAGUGGGUACGGGCAGACUAGAGUGCGGUAGGGGAGAUUGGAAUUCCUGGUGUAGCGGUGGAAUGCGCAGAUAUCAGGAGGAACACCGGUGGCGAAGGCGGUGGUCUGGGCCGGCACUGACGCUGAGGAGCGAAAGCGUGGGUAGCGAACAGG